GUAGGGAAUAUUGGGCAAUGGAUGCAAGUCUGACCCAGCCAUCCCGCGUGCCGGAAGAAGGCCCUCAGGGUUGUAAACGGCUUUUGACGGUGAAGAAUCGACAGGAUGCGUCCUGUUUUGACGGUAGCCGUUGAAUAAGCACCGGCUAACUCCGUGCCAGCAGCCGCGGUAAUACGGAGGGUGCGAGCGUUGUCCGGAUUUAUUGGGUUUAAAGGGUGCGUAGGCUGGAAGGUCAGUAAGCGGUGAAAAGCUGUCGCUUAACGAUAGUCUUGCCGCAGAUACUUCCUUUCUUGGAUGAGGAGGAGGCCACUGGAACGGAUGGUGUAGCGGUGAAAUGCAUAGAUAUCAUCCAGAACACCGAUUGCGAAGGCAGGUGGCUGUACCUUAAUCGACGCUGAUGCACGAAAGCAUGGGGAGCAAACAGGAUUAGAUACCCGGGUAGUCC
rnacentral:rRNA from 1 species